rnacentral:rRNA from 1 species
UUGACCUCAAAUCAGGUAGGACUACCCGCUGAACUUAAGCAUAUCAAUAAGCGGAGGAAAAGAAACUAACAAGGAUUCCCCUAGUAACUGCGAGUGAAGCGGGAAAAGCUCAAAUUUAAAAUCUGGCGGUCUCCGGCCGUCCGAGUUGUAAUCUAGAGAAGUGUUAUCCGCGCUGGACCGUGUACAAGUCUCCUGGAAUGGAGCGUCAUAGAGGGUGAGAAUCCCGUCUUUGACACGGACUGCCAGGGCUUUGUGAUGCGCUCUCAAAGAGUCGAGUUGUUUGGGAAUGCAGCUCAAAAUGGGUGGUAAAUUCCAUCUAAAGCUAAAUAUUGGCGAGAGACCGAUAGCGAACAAGUACCGUGAGGGAAAGAUGAAAAGAACUUUGGAAAGAGAGUUAAACAGUACGUGAAAUUGCUGAAAGGGAAACGCUUGAAGUCAGUCGCGUUGGCCGGGGAUCAACCUUGCUUUUGCUGGGCGUACUUUCCGGUUGACGGGUCAGCAUCAAUUUUGACCGUUGGAUAAAGUCCAGGGGAAUGUGGCAUCUUCGGAUGUGUUAUAGCCCUUGGUCGCAUACAACGGUUGGGAUUGAGGAACUCAGCACGCCGCAAGGCCGGGUACUUGUACCACGU